UUGCUGUGGAGGUUGUAUCAUAUUAAUAUUUAAUUCUGAUCAUAUAACAGAUUUGACUUGCAGGUGAGACAGGAAGGACAACAACUAGAGACGAGUGCUGUAUAUAUUUUCACCAGAUGCGUAUGUAGAUUUAAAAAAAAAAAAAAAAAAAAAAAAGCAUGGGAGUUAAAGUGUGUGCAAGAACUCGAGAGGACCAGAGGCAGUGUUGCCAGGUGUGUUAGAAAUCUCUGGAUGACGUCAUGGAUUCAUUUGCAUCAUCAAGAUCAUUUGUUUAUCAAGGAGACAAAAUGAAGCAAUGGGCAUGAGUAGUUGAGAAAUAGACACAAAGGACAUGGAUGGAAUGACUCGCUUAUAUUGCUUCAUGGACCUGGGAUCCCCCUGUUUCCUGGCCAGCAUCCUGUUACAAGCAUUUGUUCUCCCGAGCUGCCUCAGUGUUUCGGUUCGUUUCCCGAGCCAGCAGACCGUCUACGUGGUGACUGGGCAGAAUUUGGUCCUGCAGGCUGAGAUCGAGUUGUCCCAGGGGGAUCACGUCGCCAAGGUCACAUGGGAGCGUGAAGUCGAGGGAAAAAGGAAUUCUGGGAAAAGCGUGGUGGCUGAAUAUCCUGCUAAAAGCUCAGAAGGCCGGGUGAUCGUUGAGAAGGGCGGGUCUGUGAUGACGUUACGGGACUACCAGGGAACGGACAACGGCGUGUACACGGUCACCGUCCGAGACCAGAAAGGAGGUCAGAGUUCGGCACGCUGCACCGUCCACGAGUACGAGGCCGUGCACCAUGUGUCAGUGAUGGUGAACGUGUCGCACUCCAGCCUGCACUGCAUGGAAGCCUGGGGGACGGAGCCCGUCUUCCGUUGGCUCCACGAGAAAGUCGCGGUGACGGAGGCCGUGGGCCGCGUGUCAGCGGACGGCAGCUCUCUGUACCUGAACACGGCGCUGUGUGGCCACUUCACCUGCAUGAACCUUGUGAGAGAGAGAGCAGAGGAACCGCUGUAGCGGUUGUAUGUCUCGUGCUCUUGCUGCUCGUGGCUGGAGGUUUGACCUUCCUGCUCUGGAGGAAACGCAUGAGUUACAGUAAUAGACGAGAGAGACUCCGGGAACCAGAUGAGGACAUUUAACCUCCACACUCAAGUCUGUGUGUCAGACUGAAACAUAAAUGGAAGAGACAAGAACUUAAGACUGUUGCCUCUUCUCCAAGCACUUGGAUCAUUGCAAAACAUUCCAGAUAUGCUACCAGGGUUUUACUGGCUUUCAGUUACAGUCGGACAAGCCAAGGAGCGAAGAUCUCUCUUUUUUUUUUUUUUUUU